UGUCGCCAACAUCCACUAUAAAGACUCAUUGAGACCCAUGUUGAUGUGUCAGUCAAACUCUAGCAGUCUCACUGUGAGCAAUAAUGUCAUCUCAGGUCAAAAGAUCUGUCAUACAACUGCAGCAUCGAGAAAGUCACUAACGAGUGAGCAGACAUCCAUGUGACUUCUCGUGUUGGUCACGUUCAGUGCUAGUUAUUUUUUAAUAACCAUAUGCACUCUCACUCCAGUGUCUCUACACUGUAGACUCGAUAUCCAUUUGCUCGAAGGAAGU
rnacentral:lncRNA from 1 species